rnacentral:rRNA from 1 species
UUAUUAUUUACAAUAAUGAUUAGGUUUUGUGCAAUUCGACCUAGCUUGAAUUUAACGAGUUGAUUACUUUAAUAUGUAUAUUUAUGUUGAAUUUAUUAGAAAUAACUUUUUUAUUAGUAGUGUUUAUUGAAAUUUUUAUGUGUGUGAUAGUUUAUAGUACUGUAAAGGAAUUAUAAAUUUUAAUUUUAAGCAAAUUUUAUUUAUUGUACCUUUUGUAUCAGGGUUUAUUAAUAUAAAGAUUAAUUAUUUAAUUUUCCCGAAAUUAGAAGAGAUAUAUUUUUAUGAUAGUUUCUGUUUUAUAAUAAUUAUUAAUUUAAAUAUAGGGGUUAUAUGCUAUUCAUUUUUAAAUAUCUGGUUAUCUAAUAAAUUAAUUUAAUUAAAAUAAUUAAAUGUUGAUUUAUAAAUUAAUUUUGUUCAAUUUUAAUUAUUAAAAUUAUGGGGGAUAAGCUCUGAUUAAUUAGUUUAUAAUUGUUUUAUUUUAAAAUUCUUGUAGGCCUAGUGACAGCCAUCAUUUAUUUCGUUACAGUUAAUUUUUAUUUUUAUUUAAUUUAUUAACGAUUUAAAUUUUUAUUAGAUUUAUUUAUAAAAUUUUUUAUUAAAUGUCAUAAUGAUAAAAUUAGUAAUUUUGAAUAAUUAAGGUUAGGAACUCGGCAAAUUUAGUUUCCGCCUGUUUAACAAAAACAUGUCCUAUAGAUUUUAAUUUUAGGUCUGACCUGCCCGUUGAAUAAUUAAAUGGCCGCAGUACUUUGACUGUGCGAAGGUAGCAUAAUCAUUUGUCUUUUAAUUAAAGGCUCGCAUGAAUGGUUGGACGUGAUAUUGACUUUCUUACUUUAAUUUUUAUGAAUUUGAUUUUUUAGUUAAAAAGCUAAAAUUAAUUUAUUAGACGAGAAGACC